GGAAGACACAGUGAGAAGGUGCCGGCCACAAACCAGGAAAGCUCCGUCACCAGGACCCAACCACGCUGGCAACUUAUCCUGAACUUCCAGCCUCCAGAACUAUCAGCCCUGAGCUAACAUCUGCUGCCAAUCCUCCUCUUUUUGCUGAGGAAGACUGGCUCUGAGCUAACAUCCGUGCCAAUCUUCCUCUACUUUAUAUGUGGGACGCCUACCACAGCAUGGCGGGACAAGUGGUGCCAUGUCCACACCCUGGAUCCCAACCGGCAAACCCCGGGCCGCUGAAGUGGAAUGUUCAAACUUAACCGCUGCACCCUUCUCAUCUUUUUUAAAGAAAGGAAUGAAAAAACUUUACGCUGCCACUCUUGCUAUUGCUCCCACCAAACUUCUUUAAGUUUUUGAAAAUGUCUCAGCGUGCUUUGCCAUGUGUGGCUGAAAGUCGGACGUGCUGUACUGAGAAAAGGAGCCGCGGUAAACAGCCCUUGAUGUGUGGGGUCUUGUGUUAUCACGCCAGCGGUUGGACCUCCAGACUCAGCCUCAGCAGCCCACGGACAUUCCCGUGAAGACUUCCUACCAGAGCACGGCUUCCCUGCCUUCUGCCCGGGGAGCAGAUCUUCACUGUGACUUUCUGGAUUUGCCUGUCUCUGCAGAUUGCAGGAGACAUGAUGAGGAUCAUAUUACAGUUGCAAUAAUGGAAGUAGAGUGAACGACACAAGGCACUUCAAGUCACGUAAGUAAUAAAGUGAUAUGGAAGAUAAUGUUAAUAACGGCUGCUGUUUACUAAGCAUGUGGCGUCAGUGAUGCCAACCGUGCACAGCCACAUGCUGAGAAAGGCUGAGAUUCCCCCGCUUCCUGAAAGCUAACAAGGGAGCCGCUCACAGUCUGAAGUAGUAGAAAUACAAGACUCACGGGUCAGAGACAAAGACUAAGCAAGAGCAGAAACAGAGUACUGGCAUUUGGACUGAUUGCUCCAGUCUCAGUUCCUACGAGGCAAUGAAAAGAGGACCAGCUGAGCUGCACGUCCACGGGAUGACAUCACAGGAGAAGAGUGAAAUGAGUUUAUCAAAAUCAAUUUUUUGAUGCCCAAAGGGAGUCACUGUCUCUGUCUUCAGAGGAUUUUCAUACUUGAAAAGAUAGUUGGGAAUAAAGGGAAACAGUUUCUCACUCAGAAAAUUUGAAGGGAAGAGACUCAUGGAGACUUGCCCCCAACUAUCGCUCCCUUGUUUCUAUCCCAACAUCGCGCCUUCUGAGGAACUUCCCUAUGAACUUACUGUCCUCGUAGACAGCGCUGUCCUCCACCUUUUCCCUCAGCGCACGCCAGUGAGCUCAACGGCCCUGGGCAUGUUGGCCACGACCUCUGAGAUAUCCGCCUCUGAGACAGACAUGCAGCUUGUGAAACACUUUCCUGCAACCACUUCCUGCAACAGAAGCAGGGGCGCAGCCCUCAGAGCAGCGUGCCAGCAGGGCCAGUGGUGGACCUGGCAUUCCUGGGGGAGGAGGCUGGGACUGGACCCCCGGAGGCCCUGCACCCCUGGAGGCCCAGCGGCCAUCUCGUUCCCUGUCCAAAUGGGACACUCAGUACCCUGUGCCUUCAGGCCAGGUGUGUCCCAGCUGGGCUACCGUCUCCCAAAAGAGUCUCAGGAACUCUCCGCAGUAGAACUCGUUUUGCUGCCUGAGCAUCCUCCGCUCUGUGAGAAAGUCCUGCUGGUUCAUCAUCAAAGGGCCACAAAUCUGACGUUUCACACCGCUGUAACCAACGUCUGCCUGCAACUGCCAUGCUCUCACCCCAGGGGCUUAGGGCAGCCACCUCCCUGCCUCUGCCUCUCCCAAAGUCUCCUCUCAGAAAGAAAAGAAUUAUUAUUUCCUAUGUUGCUCAUAAUAAUUAAUCUGAUCAACAAAGAAACUGGGACAAAAUCUGUUAAAUCUGUCUCAUGCAGCGUUAACUGCCCCUUCCACCAACGUGGCCACGGGCAGCAGGGGGAGACCCAGCUGCGCUGUUGACCUGUCAUGGCCCCAGGGUCAUGACCCAAUCACCUGAACAAAGCCUUAAACCCUCAGGGUUUCCUUAGAAAACCCAGUGUCUUCCUAUUUAAUUUCUGUCCUCAUCUUUCCACUUAGCCAGGGCCUUAAUCCAGAUACAGCAGGAUGUGUUCACGUUGGGGAAACACCACCUUGACGCACAAAGAGGUCUAGGCCAGUCCUGUCAUCAAAAACAACCCUGGGCAGAGUGUUGAGGCUGACCUGAAAGUCCUCCACAGCUGAAGUGGUGCCAUUGAUUGCAUCACCUAAAAUCAGGGAGAGUUUAUACCACACAUUCUAAUUGGGUAAUUCUCACAAUAGGGAUCACUUCCCAAAGGGCAUGUAAAUAGAACAAGUCAGCCUUUCUGGAUAGCAAGCUCCUCCUAGUAACCAAGGAUAGCUUCAGUCACCUGAGGGCCAGAGCCAGUAUUGCCUUCAAGUUAUCUGGUCUCUUAUGGUCUUGUAUGGCCAUCCCUAAGGCACCAGCCACCGUGUUCCAGGAGUGAGUCAAGUUAAUGCCUGGCUUCCACAGCCUGUCUGGUCGGUAUACUUUAGGGUUCUCAGUUCAGACCAAAUAAUUAAGUCCAGAAAAUGGAGUGGGCAGGAAAACAAAUAAAUAAAUAGAUACACAAAUCAAUUUCACUUUAGAGUGUCCUUGAUGAAGCAGCAAAGAUUUUAAAUUUCAUUAAACUUUGACCUUUAAUUGUGUCUUUUUAGUACUCUGUAUCAUGAAAUUGACAACACAGACAAAUCACUUCUGCUGCAUGUUAAACCCCAAAGGUUAUCUUGAAGAAAAGUAUUUGUGUGAUUGAAUCGUGAGCUCAAGUAGAUACUUUUUUCAUGAAAUGUCACUUUUUCCUGAAUGAAUGAGUGACAGAACCAUGGUUAUUUAGACUUGGGUAUUUGGCAGAUAUUUUCUUGCAAGUGAAUGAUACGCG
rnacentral:lncRNA from 1 species